CCUUAGGCUAGGGUGCCCACGUGCUCCAGGGAAACGGAGCCCACAAGAGGAAUCUGUAUGUAUUUAGAGGGAGUGAAUGUGUGUAUAUACAUAUAGAGAAUAUAUACACUUAUAUGGAGAGAGAGGGUUAGAUCCUUUUUUCCUCUUUAGUGUUGAAUCUGGCUUCAUCUGUGCUAGAUUAGGAGCUCCCUUCACCUUGCUUACUCCCCUACUCAUGCUACACACACAGUGGAAGCUCAGUGAGACGUCUACACACACAGUGGGAGCUCACAUCCAUGCACACAGUGAGAGCUCACAUCCAUGCACACAGUGGGUGCUCACAUCCAUGCACACAGUGGGAGCUCACAUCCAUGCACACAGUGGGUGCUCACAUCCAUGCACACAGUGGGAGCUCACAUCCAUGCACACAGUGGGAGCUCACAUCCAUGCGCACAGUGGGAGCUCACAUCCAUGCGCACAGUGGGUGCUCAUAUCCAUGCGCACAGUCGAGCUCAUAUCCAUGCACACAGUGGGAACUCUAUCCAUGCACACAGUGGGAGCUCACAUCCAUGCACACAGUGGGAGCUCACAUCCAUGCACACAGUGGGUGCUCACAUCCAUGCACACAGUGGGAGCUCACAUCCAUGCACACAGUGGGAGCUCACAUCCAUGCACACAGUCGAGCUCAUAUCCAUUCACACAGUGGGAACUCUAUCCAUGCACACAGUGGGAGCUCACAUCCAUGCACACAGUGGGUGCUCACAUCCAUGCACACAGUGGGAGCUCACAUCCAUGCACACAGUGGGAGCUCACAUCCAUGCACACAGUCGAGCUCAUAUCCAUUCACACAGUGGGAACUCUAUCCAUGCACACAGUGGGAGCUCACAUCCAUGCACACAGUGGGUGCUCACAUCCAUGCACACAGUGGGUGCUCACAUCCAUGCACACAGUGGGAGCUCACAUCCAUGCACACAGUCGAGCUCAUAUCCAUUCACACAGUGGGAACUCUAUCCAUGCACACAGUGGGAGCUCACAUCCAUGCACACAGUGGGUGCUCACAUCCAUGCACACAGUGGGAGCUCACAUCCAUGCACACAGUGGGAGCUCACAUCCAUGCACACAGUCGAGCUCAUAUCCAUUCACACAGUGGGAACUCUAUCCAUGCACACAGUGGGAGCUCACAUCCAUGCACACAGUGGGUGCUCACAUCCAUGCACACAGUGGGUGCUCACAUCCAUGCACACAGUGGGUGCUCACAUCCAUGCACACAGUGGGAGCUCACAUCCAUGCACACAGUGGGAGCUCACAUCCAUGCACACAGUGGGAGCUCCUAUCCAUGCACACAGUGGAAGCUCACAUCCAUGCACACAGUGGGUGCUCACAUCCAUGCACACAGUGGGAGCUCACAUCCAUGCACACAGUGGGAGCUCACAUCCAUGCACACAAUCGAGCUAAUAUCCAUGCACACAGUGGGAGCUCACAUCCAUGCACACAGUCGAGCUCACAUCCAUGCACACAGUGGGUGCUCACAUCCAUGCACACAGUGGGAGCUCACAUCCAUGCACACAGUGGGAGCUCCUAUCCAUGCACACAGUGGAAACUCAUAUCCAUGCACACAGUGGGUGCUCAUAUCCAUGCACACAGUCGAACUCAUAUCCAUGCACACAGUGGGAACUCUAUCCAUGCACACAGUGGGAGCUCAUAUCCAUGCACACAGUGGGAAGUGAUAUCCAUGCACACAGAGCUGAUGAUAUCCAUGCACAGAGUAUGAGCUCAUAUCCACGCACAGAGUGAGAGCUGAUAUCCAUGGACACAGUGGGAGCUCAUAUCCAUCCACAGAGAGCUGAUAUCCAUGCACACAGUGGGAGCUCUAUCCAUGCACACAGUGGGAGCUCUAUCCAUGCACAGUGGGAACUCUAUCCAUGCACACAGUGGGAACUCUAUCCAUGCACACAGUGGGAACUCUAUCCAUGCACACAGUGGGAGCUCAUAUCCAUGCACACAGUGGGAGCUCUAUCCAUGCACACAAUGGGAGCUCAGUGGAACAUGCCAGAUGGUCAGUGGAGCUGAGUCUUGACUGGGAAAACUCAAGCACUUUAGAAAAAAAACACAGUAGAAGAAGUCUAUGUGACUUCAGAGCAACACAGUAGUCUUAUGUCUAUAAAAGGAAUAAAUAUAGUGAACAUUUAGAAGAAAUUAUGGUUAUCUUAUUUACUGAAAAGGGGUCUUACAAAAAUAGAUGGAAUGUUUAAAAUUAGCACUAAAUAAGAAGAAUUUGCUAAUUACCAAUAUGAAAUAUUAAAUGGUCUGAAGGAACAAUAGGAAGGAAAUGGCAGAGCAGAAAUCACAUUAAUGUCCCAAGGAGACCCAUUAAUAGAAUUGUACUUUGCUAUUGGAAAUGGAUCACUAAUUAAGAAUAGACUAUCAGUGGUGCAAGUAGCUUUGUGCACAGAGACUUAAGGCAGAAGUCGUGAAAUUGGAUGUGCAUGAAGAAACCAGCUGCAUGACCCAGGUUGUGAGGCAACUUUUCCAUGCCUUUCCCAAAAAAUAAAAAUAAAAAAUAAAAAUAAAAAAUAAUAAUAAUAAUAAUAAUCUUGCCUAAAUCUCAGGUACAGGUAAAAAAAUGUCAAUUUAUCCAUAAAGUUAAAUGGUAUUAACAAUGAAUCAAAAAGUAAUAAAGGAUGUGGAAUCAAUAAAACAAAAUUUAAAACUGUGUUGAUGAAGGUAUGCUCAUUUAAUGCACACUGGUUGCUCUAUAAAGUAGUAUACAACUUUUGAAAAGAAGUUCUGUAGUUCUAGCUGUCAAUUUACAGAAAAUGUCUGUACACUUUGACCCACUAUUUCCAAUAAGUUAUAAGGAAAUAAAUAAUCUGUAACUCUAGGUUUUUCUUUCAUAGAGAAGUCUUGCGCCUUCUAUUAACACUCUGAUUUAUCACCCACCGGGGGGCUGGUGGUGGGUGCAGCCCACUCAAGAUGCAAGUAGUAAGGGGCGUGUCUCUGUCAAUCAUUUAAAAACAAUAAUAAAACUAACUAAAAGCUGGGAUUCUUUGCUUUAUGUACUAGAAUUUUUAAACGAUGCCAGGAAACAAGUAUUGCUUCCUAAAAAGGCCUUUUGUUAGCAUAAGUUCAAAAUAACUGUCGAGGUUACUAUUGAGUUUUAAAAUAUAUGUAAAAUUCAAAUUCACAUAUUGUAACAUGCAGUUUUUUUUUUUUUGAGACAAAGUCUCACUCUGUCCCAGAUACAUGGGGAGGUGAGAGGCAGGACAGAGGGUCACCUGAGUCCAGAAGUCAAAGCUGCAGUGAGCCAUGAUUGUGUCACUGCACUCUAGCCUGGGUGACAGUGUGAGAUCCUGUCUCAGAAAAAAAAAGAAAAAGAAAGGAAGGAAGAAGGAAGGAAGGAAGGAGCAGGAGAGAGAGAAAGAAGAAAGAAAAGAAAGAAAGAAAGAAAGAAAGAAGGAAGGAAGGAAGGAAGGAAAGGAAGGAGAGGAAGGAGAGGAAGGAAAAGAAGAAAGGAAGAAAGAAAAAAGGAAAAAGAAAGAGAAAGAAAGAAAAAGAAAGAGAAAAAGAAAGAGAGAAAGGAAGGAAGGGAUUAAAAAUGGCCGAAUAGAUGAACUGCUCGGUGUAACAUUUUUGUUUGGAAAGUGCAAAUUGAAGUCAUGCAAUAACAUUUGAAUAAAGUUUACUGAAUUUCAGUGUCUUCAAAAUUGAAAUGUAUCACUUUCCAAGUAUUAGUUGUUGCUAUACAAAUAAUUUCAAGAAAAUCAUCAUCAUCACUGAGCUUUUCAUACGUAUCAACUGAAAAUGGCCUUUGAUGUAGAGCAGGGUGCAGAAAGGUGAGUGGCCAUGGGUGCCAAGCACUGCAGGAAUUCCAUAUGGGCCCAGGAGAGAGGGGCCCAGCUUGUGCAGCAGACCAGCCAACUCUGCUGCUGGAACUCUGGAGGAACAAAGGGGAGUUAACAGGUCGUUAGAAAAGAGACAGAACGUAAAUGGUAAAGCCACACUGUGCUUUUGUUUUUAAGGAAAUCUUGAGCAUGAAACAGGAAAGAUGAGAGAAGUGAGCCUAGACCAAGAACGAUUGUUUGUGCGUUUAGAAAGGAAGCAAGGAUGCAGCGAAGGAGGAAGGGAAUAUGUGGUUGUGGACCCACAAACAACAAACAAACAAACCACGAACACACUUGCAAAAUUGUGAAUGACUCUUGGUAUCAAUAUUACCGCAAGAUAAUUUUUACAAAACAAAAUCAGAUGUUAAGCAUUCCUUUAAGAAGGCCAAGGAAAGAAUAAUUGCCAAUUUAUCUGUGGAGCAAGAAAACAUGGUAAAUUUAAAAUAGUAA
rnacentral:lncRNA from 1 species